rnacentral:rRNA from 1 species
ACGGCUAACUCCGUGCCAGCAGCCGCGGUAAUACGGAGGGUGCGAGCGUUAAUCGGAAUUACUGGGCGUAAAGCGCAUGCAGGUGGUUUGUUAAGUCAGAUGUGAAAGCCCCGGGGCUCAACCUCGGAACUGCAUUUGAAACUGGCAGACUAGAGUACUGUAGAGGGGGUAGAAUUUCAGGUGUAGCGGUGAAAUGCGUAGAGAUCUGAAGGAAUACCGGUGGCGAAGGCGGCCCCCUGGACAGAUACUGACACUCAGAUGCGAAAGCGUGGGGAGCAAACAGGAUUAGAUACCCUGUAG